UGUGUAGCGCAAGCACAUAAGAGAAAGAUGUAAAUAAGAUUACAAAACNUUACUCUCGCUGUUAGUUCAACAUAAUAAAAAAAAACAGAGUCCCGUAGCUCAGCUGGUUAGAGUACUACACUGAUAAUGUAGGGGUCCCCAGUUCGAGUCUGGGCGGGACUACAAACGUUCAUAUACAUAAGAAGGAAAUUCUAGGGUUGAAAAAUUACGAAUUACAAAAAAUUCCUAAUUCAUAAUUCACAAUUCAUAAUUAAAUUGGGGGAUUAGCUCAGCUGGCUAGAGCGCCUGCCUUGCACGCAGGAGGUCAUCGGUUCGACUCCGAUAUUCUCCACAAAAGCCCCCCAACCCCCUAAAGGGGAGUUGACAACUAGUUCCCCUUUGUGAGCUAGGGGGCUGGAAAGUUCAUUGACAUAUUGAGAUAAAAACAUUUAAAAAGUAGAAAGUAGAUACGCGAUUAAUCGCGUAUAAAAUAAAUGUGUCAUUUAUUGCAUAUUUAAAAACAAUUCCUAUUUGUAUUGAUAUGAAUAGGAUGUACAUAAGCAAAAUAAGGGCGUAUGGGGGAUGCCUAGA
rnacentral:tRNA from 1 species